rnacentral:rRNA from 1 species
AUUGAACGCUGGCGGCAGGCCUAACACAUGCAAGUCGAACGAGUGGCGGACGGGUGAGUAAUGUCUGGGAAACUGCCUGAUGGAGGGGGAUCACUACUGGAAACGGUAGCUAAUACCGCAUACCAUCAGAUGUGCCCAGAUGGGAUUAGCUAGUUGGUGGGGUAACGGCUCACCAAGGCGACGCUCCCGAGCUGGUCUGAGAGGAUGACCAGCCACACUGGAACUGAGACACGGUCCAGACUCCUACGGGAGGCAGCAGUGGGGAAUAUUGGACAAUGGGCGCAAGCCUGAUACAGCCAGGCCGCGUGUAUGAAGAAGGCCUUCGGGUUGUAAAGUACUUUCAGCGGGGAGGCGGUACCCGCAGAAGAAGCACCGGCUAACUCCGUGCCAGCAGCCGCGGUAAUUC